ACAGCUGUAACAAGAGCUUCUUGACC
rnacentral:piRNA from 1 species